rnacentral:rRNA from 1 species
UCUACGGGUGGCAGCAGUGGGGAAUAUUGCACAAUGGGGGAAACCCUGAUGCAGCGACGCCGCGUGAGUGAGGAAGUAUUUCGGUAUGUAAAGCUCUAUCAGCAGGGAAGAAAAUGACGGUACCUGACUAAGAAGCCCCGGCUAACUACGUGCCAGCAGUCGCGGUAAUACGUAGGGGGCAAGCGUUAUCCGGAUUUACUGGGUGUAAAGGGAGCGUAGACGGUUAAUCAAGUCAGAAGUGAAAACCCAGGGCUCAACCCCGGGACUGCUCUUGGAACUGGAUGGCUGGAGUACAGGAGGGGCAGGCGGAAUUCCUAGUGUAGCGGUGAAAUGCGUAGAUAUUAGGAGGAACACCGGUGGCGAAGGCGGCCUGCUGGACUGUGACUGACGUUGAGGCCCGAAGGCGUGGGGAGCAAACAGGAUUAGAUACCCUUGUAGUC